rnacentral:rRNA from 1 species
UACAGAGGGGGCUAGCGUUGCUCGGAAUUACUGGGCGUAAAGCGCACGUAGGCGGCUUUCUAAGUCGGGGGUGAAAUCCUGGAGCUCAACUCCAGAACUGCCUUCGAUACUGGAAAGCUCGAGUCCGGGAGAGGUGAGUGGAACUGCGAGUGUAGAGGUGAAAUUCGUAGAUAUUCGCAAGAACACCAGUGGCGAAGGCG